GCCCUUGUAGUUCAGCGGUAGAACGGGAGUCUCUAAAACUCCUUGUCGCAGGUUCGAAUCCUGUCAAGGGCA
rnacentral:tRNA from 1 species